rnacentral:rRNA from 1 species
AUCUUCUUGUCAAAGCCUGAUCUGGUCUGAUCUCUGAAGCUAAGCAGGUCCGGUCUGGUCAGUGCUUGGAUGGGAGACUGCUGUGAAUACCAGGU